GUCGGAUUGGCGUGGUGGUCGCUGUGCCGCUGCAGGUGGUACAGGAAGAUAUUGGUCACGAUGUGGUCGGAGUUCCAGCUGUGCUCCGGCG
rnacentral:tRNA from 1 species